rnacentral:rRNA from 1 species
ACUCAAAUGAAUUGACGGGGGCCCGCACAAGCGGCGGAGCAUGUGGCUUAAUUCGAUGCAACGCGAAGAACCUUACCUGGGUUUGACAUUUAGGGAAAAGCCGUAGAGAUACGGUGUCCUUCGGGGUCCUAAACAGGUGGUGCAUGGCUGUCGUCAGCUCGUGUCGUGAGAUGUUGGGUUAAGUCCCGCAACGAGCGCAACCCUUAUUCUAUGUUGCCAGCGCGUAAUGGCGGGGACUCGUAGGAGACUGCCGGGGUCAACUCGGAGGAAGGUGGGGACGACGUCAAGUCAUCAUGCCCCUUAUAUCCAGGGCUGCACACAUGCUACAAUGGCUGGUACAACGGGUCGCUAAUCCGCGAGGAGGAGCUAAUCCCCAAAGCCAGUCUCAGUUCGGAUCGCAGUCUGCAACUCGACUGCGUGAAGUCGGAGUCGCUAGUAAUCCCGGAUCAGCAACGCCGGGGUGAAUACGUUCCCGGGCCUUGCACACACCGCCCGU